rnacentral:tRNA from 1 species
UGAAGUGCCUGAUUUAAAAGGAUUACUAUGAUAGAGUAAACCAUGUAAUUUUUAUUACCUUCAUUA